GAGUUUGAUCGUGGCUCAGAACGAACGCUGGCGGCGUGGAUAAGACAUGCAAGUCGAACGGAUUUUUCUCUGUAGCAAUACAGGGGAAGGUCAGUGGCGCAAGGGUGCGUAACACGUGGGCAACCUGCCCUGAAGUUGGGGAUAGCCCGCCGAAAGGCGGAUUAAUACCGAAUGUGGCUAGUGGUGGAUUCACCGCGACGCUAAAGGUGGCGCAAGCUGCCGCUUCUGGAUGGGCCCGCGGCCUAUCAGCUAGUUGGUUGGGGUAACGGCCACCAAGGCGAUGACGGGUAGCUGGUCUGAGAGGACGACCAGCCACACUGGAACUGAGACACGGUCCAGACACCUACGGGUGGCAGCAGUCGAGAAUUUUUCGCAAUGGGGGAAACCCU
rnacentral:rRNA from 1 species